rnacentral:tRNA from 1 species
GGCGCGAUAGCCAAGCUGGUAAGGCAGAAGACUGCAACUCUUUGAUCGUCGGUUCGAAUCCGAUUCGCGCCUCCA